UUUAUUAAAUCUAAAAUUCUAAGGUAUAAUUUUAUCAUAUCAUAAUUUUUAUUUUUAAAAAAAUGACAAUAAAAAAUGAAAUAAAGAAAAUGAAAGUUUAUAUAAACAAAAAUGGUUAAAGUAAUGAAAAACAAAACAAAUUGUGAAAACAAACGUAGAGUUGCUUUUAUUAGAAACCUGAAACCUAUUAGAUGGAUACAUGAAAGAAGAGCUAAGUUUGCUUUGAACAUUAUAACAUUGAUUAGAACACUCAGAAUGCAUGUCUUUGACUUAAAAUGUCAUAUACAUACACAUAUUACUUAGCUACUUAAUGUAUUUGUUUAACACAGUAGUCUUCAAGGUGACUCACAAUGUUUACCACACCAAAUCAACAUUGGUAGUAUGAUUUGCUUAUUUUAUCUCUUUCAAAAAAUUAAAUAUAGUUUCAAACAUUAAAACAAGAGAAUAUGCAAAAUAAAAUUAUAAUUAAUAUUAUUGACUUAAGUUGUAGUUAUAUUGAGUUUUAUUUAAUCUAAAUUUCUAUAGUAUAAUGUAUUUAUAUCAUAAUUUUUAUUUUUGCAACAAUGACAAUAAAAAAGAAAUAAAGAAAAUGAAAGUUUAUAUAGACAAAAAUGGUUAAAGUAAUGAAAAAAACAAAUUGUGAAAACAAACGUAGAGUUGCUUUUAUUAGAAACAUGAAACCUAUUAGAUGGAUACCUGGAAAUAUAGUUAAGUUUGCUUUGGACAUUAUAAUUUGGGUUGAAACACUCAUAUUGCAUGUCUUUGAAUUAAAGUUACAUAUACAUACACGUAUUACUUAGCUACUUAAUGUAUGUUUAACACAAUAGCCUUCUCAAGGUGACUUACUAUGCAUACUACAACAAAUCAAUAUGGUAGAAUGAUUGCUUAUUUUAUACCUUUUUUUAAUUAAAUAUAUGUUUUAAACAUUAAAACAAGAAAAUAUGCAGAAAAAAACAAUAUGAUUAAUUUUUAUUGACUUAAGUUGUAAUGUAUAUUUGAGUUUUAUUAAAUCUAAAAUUCUAAGGUAUAAUGUAUUCAUAUCAUAAUUUUAUUUUUAAAAAAUGACAAUAAAAAUGAAAUAAAGAAAAUGAAAGUUUAUAUAGACAAAAAUGGUUAAAGUAAUGAAAACAAACAAAUUGUGAAAACAAAUGUAGACUUAUUUUAUUAGAAACAUGAAACCUAUUAGAUAGAUACAUGGAAAAAGAUCUAAAUUUGCUUUGGACUUUAUGACGUGGGUUGAAACACUCAGAAUACAUGUCUUGAUUUAAAAUGACAUAUACAUACACAUAUUUCUUAGCUACUUAAUGUAUUUGUUCAAAACAAUAGCCUUCUGAAGGUGAUUGACUAUAUUUACUACACCAAAUCAAUAUUGGUAGAAUGAUUUACUUAUUUAUACCUUUUCUUUCAAUUAAAUAUAUUUUUUAAACAUUAAAACAAGAGAAUAUGCAAAAAAAUAUAAUUAAUUUUAUUGACUUAAGUUGUAAUGUAUAUUUGAGCUUUAUUAAAUCUAAAAUUUUAAAGUUUAAUGUAUUUAUAUCAUAAUUUUAUUUUAUUUUAAAAAUGACAAUAAAAAAAGAAAAUGAAAGUUUAUAUAGACCAUAAUGGUUAAAGUAAUAAAAAAACAAAUUGUGAAAACAAACGUAGAGUUGCUUUUAUUAGAAACAUGAAACCUUUUAGAUGGAUACAUGAAAAAAGAGCUAAGUUUGUUUUGAACAUUAUAACAUCGAUUGUAACACUCAGAAUGCAUGUCUUUGAAUUAAAAUGACAUAUACAUACACAUAUUACUUAGCUACUUAAUGUAUUUGUUACACAGUAGCCUUCUCAAGGUGACUAACUAUGUUUACCACACCAAAUCAACAUUGGUAGAAUGAUUUGCUAUUUUAUACCUUUUUUAUAUUAAAUAUAUGUUUUAAAUAUUAAAACAAGAAAAUAUGCACACAAAAAAAUAUGAUUAAUUUUAUUGACUUAAGUUGUAAGUAUAUUUAAGUUUAUUAAAUCUAAAAUUCUAAGGUAUAAUUUUAUCAUAUCAUAUUUUAUUUUUAAAAAAUGACAAUAAAAAUGAAAUAAAAAGAAAUGAAAGUUUAUAUAAACAAAAUGGUUAAGUAAUGAAAAACAAAACAAAUUGUGAAACAAACGUAGAGUUGCUUUUAUUAGAAACCUGAAACCUAUUAGAUGGAUACAUGAAAGAAGAGCUAAGUUUGCUUUGAACAUUAUAACAUUGAUUAGAACACUCAGAAUGCAUGUCUUUGACUUAAAAUGUCAUAUAAUACACAUAUUACUUAGCUACUUAAUGUAUUUGUUUAACACAGUAGCUUUCUCAAGGUGACUCACAAUGUUUACCACACCAAAUCAACAUUGGUAGUAUGAUUUGCUUAUUUUAUCUCUUUCAAAAAAAUAAAUAUACGUUUCAAACAUUAAAACAAGAGAAUAUGCAAAAUAAAAUUAUAAUUAAUAUUAUUGACUUAAGUUGUAAUGUAUAUUUGAGUUUUAUUUAAUCUAAAUUUCUAUAGUAUAAUGUAUUUAAUCAUUAUUUUAUUUUUGCAACAAUGACAAUAAAAAAAGAAAUAAAGAAAAUGAAAGUUUAUAUAGACAAAAAUGGUUAAAGUAAUGAAAAAAAACAAAUUGUGAAAACAAACGUAGAGUUGCUUUUAUUAGAAACAUGAAACCUAUUAGAUGGAUACCUGGAAAUAUAGUUAAGUUUGCUUUGGACAUUAUAAUUUGGGUUGAAACACUCAUAUUGCAUGUCUUUGAAUUAAAGUUACAUAUACAUACACGUAUUACUUAGCUCAUUAAUGUAUUUGUUUAACACAAUAGCCUUCUCAAGGUGACUUACUAUGCAUACUACA
rnacentral:lncRNA from 1 species